AGAGGAAGCUUUUGGUGCGGCACCGACCGAGUCCCCUGGAACGGGGCGCCAUAGAGGGUGAGAGCCCCGUAUGGUUGGACGCCUAUCCUCUGUAAAGCUCCUUCGACGAGUCGAGUAGUUUGGGAAUGCUGCUCAAAAUGGGAGGUAAAUUUCUUCUAAAGCUAAAUAUUGGCCAGAGACCGAUAGCGCACAAGUAGAGUGAUCGAAAGAUGAAAAGCACUUUGAAAAGAGGGUUAAAUAGCACGUGAAAUUGUUGAAAGGGAAGCGCUUGUGACCAGACUUGCGCCUCGUCGAUCAUCCGGGGUUCUCCCCGGUGCACUCGGCGGGGCUCAGGCCAGCAUCGGUUUUCGUGGGGGGACAAAGGCACCGGGAACGUAGCUCCUCCGGGAGUGUUAUAGCCCGGGGCGUAAUGCCCUCGCGGGGACCGAGGACCGCGCUUCGGCAAGGAUGCUGGCGUAAUGGUCAUCAGCGACCCGUCUUGAAACACGGACCAAGGAGUCAAGGUUUUGCGCGAGUGUUUGGGUGUAAAACCCGCACGCGUAAUGAAAGUGAACGUAGGUGAGAGCUUCGGCGCAUCAUCGACCGAUCCUGAUGUAUUCGGAUGGAUUUGAGUAGGAGCGUUAAGCCUUGGACCCGAAAGAUGGUGAACUAUGCUUGGAUAGGGUGAAGCCAGAGCUGGUGGAGGCUCGCAGCGGUUCUGACGUGCAAAUCGAUCGUCAAAUCUGAGCAUGGGGGGCGAAAGACUAAUCGAACCAUCUAGUAGCUGGUUACCGCCGAAGUUCCCCCUC
rnacentral:rRNA from 1 species